UGCAGUCGACGGCAGCACGGGCUUCGGCCUGGUGGCGAGUGGCGAACGGGUGAGUAAUAUAUCGGAACGUACCCAAGAGUGGGGGAUAACGUAGCGAAAGUUACGCUAAUACCGCAUACGAUCUAAGGAUGAAAGCAGGGGACCGCAAGGCCUUGUGCUCCUGGAGCGGCCGAUAUCUGAUUAGCUUGUUGGUGAGGUAAAGGCUCACCAAGGCGACGAUCAGUAGCUGGUCUGAGAGGACGACCAGCCACACUGGAACUGAGACACGGUCCAGACUCCUACGGGAGGCAGCAGUGGGGAAUUUUGGACAAUGGGCGCAAGCCUGAUCCAGCAAUGCCGCGUGAGUGAAGAAGGCCUUCGGGUUGUAAAGCUCUUUUGUCAGGGAAGAAACGGCAGUGGCUAAUAUCCAUUGCUAAUGACGGUACCUGAAGAAUAAGCACCGGCUAACUACGUGCCAGCAGCCGCGGUAAUACGUAGGGUGCAAGCGUUAAUCGGAAUUACUGGGCGUAAAGCGUGCGCAGGCGGUUUUGUAAGUCUGUCGUGAAAGCCCCGGGCUCAACCUGGGAAUUGCGAUGGAGACUGCAAGGCUUGAAUCUGGCAGAG
rnacentral:rRNA from 1 species